rnacentral:rRNA from 1 species
GAUGAACGAUGGCGGCGUGCCUAAUACAUGCAAGUCGAGCGAACGGACGAGAAGCGUUCUUCUCUGAUGUUAGCGGCGGGCGGGUGAGUAACACGUGGAUAACCUACUUAUAAUACUGGGGUAACUUCGGGAAACCGGAGCUGAUACCGGAUCAUAUUUUCAACCGGAUGGAUCAAAAGUUAAAGACGCUCUUGCUGUCACUUAUAGAUGGAUCCGCGCUGCAUUAGCUAGUUGGUAAGGUAACGGCUUACCAAGGCAACGAUGCAUAGCCGACCUGAGAGGGUGAUCGGCCACACUGGAACUGAGACACGGUCCAGACUCCUACGGGAGGCAGCAGUAGGGAAUCUUCCGCAAUGGGCGAAAGCCUGACGGAGCAACGCCGCGUGAGUGAUGAAGGUCUUCGGAUCGUAAAACUCUGUUAUUAGGGAAGAACAUAUGUGUAAGUAACUGUGCACAUCUUGACGGUACCUAAUCAGAAAGCCACGGCUAACUACGUG